rnacentral:rRNA from 1 species
AUUAUGACGUACUUGUACUGAUUGAGAUUUAACACGAAGUGAGUGGCGAACGGGUGAGUAACACGUGGGUAACCUGCCCAGAAGUAGGGGAUAACACCUGGAAACAGAUGCUAAUACCGUAUAACAGAGAAAACCGCAUGGUUUUCUUUUAAAAGAUGGCUCUGCUAUCACUUCUGGAUGGACCCGCGGCGUAUUAGCUAGUUGGUGAGGUAAAGGCUCACCAAGGCAGUGAUACGUAGCCGACCUGAGAGGGUAAUCGGCCACAUUGGGACUGAGACACGGCCCAGACUCCUACGGGAGGCAGCAGUAGGGAAUCUUCCACAAUGGACGC